UGUAGCUAGGCAUAGGGUAUUUUCUGUACGCUAAUCCGAAGCUAAUCAAAUAAAACUAUAAAUCUAUCACAGAAAAGUAGAUCACAUCCCAAAAACGGGUCAGAUUUGGCUGAUCAUCAUUGCUAAUUAAAUGAUUUGGAAGAUGAAAAGAGUGGAAAGGUUAACAAUGAACUUCAGGAGGAAUAUCACUAUUUAAAAGAUUUAUCUGUAAAUUUUAAUACAAUCUUCAUAGUAGUAAAUUUUUUUUUUAAAUUCUUAUGGGGAAGAUAAUUUAAACUCGAGUGAAUAAGGAAGCUAAUACAUCCCGCUCUAGCUACAUCUGCAGUUUCCAUGGCAGUUCUUCGAAAAAUAAAGCGACAAUAAUUGUAUGAGUCUGCUUUGGUCAAUUGAGAAAGACAAUGAUUCUAUGAGUCCGUUUUGGUCAAUUGAGAAAGUAGAGGACCAUAGAAAAUGUACUUUCAACCUUUUUUUUUUCUCUGGUCUUAUUUGUGAUCUCGACCAUCCAAAAUUACUUCCUUAGCAGCAGUUUGAAUCUUCCAAGAUUCUCCACUGGGAUCACCUCCUACCAUAAAUACACAAACACCUUCUUAAUAGUAGUACAUCCCGCUCUAGUAGUACUUCUUCUUUUUUUCUUCUUGUGGGGGAAGAGAAUUUAAACUCGAGUGCAUAAGGAAGCUAGCACAUCCCGCUCUAGCAACAUAUGCAAUUUCCAUGGCAAUUCUUCGAAAAUUGUAUGAGUCUGCUUUUGGUCAAAUGAGAGACAAUAAUUCUACGAGUAUUUUGGUCAAUUGAGAAAGUAGAGGACCAUAGAAAAUGUACUUUCAACCUUUUUUUUCCUCUGGUCUUAUUUGUGAUCGCGACCAUCCAAAAUUACUUCCUUAGCUGCAGUUUGAAUCCUCCAAGAUUCUCCACUAGGAUCACCUCCUACCAUAAAUACACAAACACCUUCUUAAUAGUCACAACAAACCAAAGCAACAGGCAGAAGAAAUCCUCCUUCUCAUUCUUCAGCAUGUUCAAAUCGAGGAGGCCACGCAAUAGCGGAGGGGACGACAUGGCGGAGGAUUCCUACACGAGUGCAAGGAGGGUUUGGCCGAGCGAGGAGGACAGAGGCGGGUUCGUGGCUGAGCCCGGGAUUGACAACAAAGCUGCUGCUUUCAUAGACAGAAUCCACAAGAACAUUGUCUCAGAAUAUGAGUGCCAAACCUUAACUGUGAAGCCAGAUGGAAAGGCCUAAUAAGAAAGGAAAACCAUGGAUGCCUGCAUUACUUUUACUUAAUGUACUAUAUUGUAUUAUUUUAUUCAAACAAUAAGUUCGUAUUUAUUUGUAAAUCACUAUAAUAAAUGUAGUAUCUGUUUCUGUUAUGCAUUUUCUGUUAUCUUAA